rnacentral:lncRNA from 1 species
AAAAACGACCUCAGGAUUAGAGGUGGUGAAUCACUUGAGAUACGUGGCUCAGUUUGAAACCCUCAAGAAAUUAGAAGAAGAACUUGAUGCUUAAAAAAAAAUUCGUAGAUAUUAAAGAGAGACGUGCAACAAGUAAACAUUACUUUGAAUUUCUUAGUUAAAAAGGAAAAGUAAACGAUACUGAGGAUAGUGAUGCUAAUCUGCCGGCACCAAUUCAUUCCGAAAUCUAUAAAAUAUUGUACUCUCUCCAAAUGCACGAUACUAUUUUUGAAAACUAAAUGGUGAUCGACAAAUUUUCUAGGUCGCAGGUCAAUCACACUCCACCGGUUCAACCGAGUUCACAGUUUAAAACCAAUAUAUAGCUUCCAGCGAGGUAAACGAUGUUUUCUAUAUGGUUCGUCUUAUCUGAUGUUUAAUGUUGUUAAGGGGGUACUUCACAAUAUUUAUAUUUUUCACUUAUUAACUCGUAUUUGGAAAAUAAAAAUAGGGGACAUUUAAGUAGAACCUUAGAUUUUGAGAAAAAUAAAAUUAUUUAAAGUCGAUCAAGCUCCGGUACACUUUGAUGCCUUUACUGCCACACAUUCUAGAAAGAUUUCAUCAAUAAAUCUAGGAGUCAUGAAGUCAAACUUGGUAGCGUAUAUAAAGGCAAGGUCCGUACCUUUUUGUACCUUAAAUGAUAUGCCCUUUUGCAUGAUGAAAAACAUGAACUACAGCACUAAAAGAAAAUAUAAAAUCAACCACCAUACGAUAACAACAUGAACUUAACCAUUAUACUACAAAACAUUUAAAAUUUUGAUCUACUUCAAUUUUUAUUAGGGGUGUUCAAUCCGGAUAUCGGUUCGGUUUCGGUUCGGUUUUUUUUUCGGUUUUUGGUAUUUCGGUUAGUAAAAUAUAACUACCAUUCUAAAUCCAUAUUUACUUCGGUUCGGUUCGGUUUAUAUACUGUCGGUUUUCGGUUUAUUCGGUUUUAUACCAAAAAACAUAAUUAUUUUGUUGGAGAUCAUAUUAUAUGAAUUUUAGAGUCAUAUUGUCAACAUAAUAAUUUAUUAAAAAUAUAUUACAUGUUCAAAUAAAUGAACAAAAAAGUAAAAAUGCUUCUACCAUCAAAUAAAAUAAUCAAAUUUAUAACUAAAAUCAAAGUUUGAAAUUUUGAAAAUGAAAAUAUGAAACAAAACAGAAAAAAAGUUUUUCCACUCUUCCAUAUUUAGUGUUCAUUAAAGUCAUGUUUUUUCAAUUAAAAAUUUUCCAUUAAUUAUUGUCCAUCAAAUUUAUAAUCUUCAUAUUUAAUUUAGCGAAGACUAAAAUAAAUUAAAAAGAUCAAAAAAAAGACUUAGAAAAUAAGAUGUCUGAAUUGCGAUAUAUUGUUAUUUAGUUAUAGUUCAAGUGUUUUACAAAUUAUGGUUUUUUAUUACUAUAAAAUUAUGGUAAUAGUUAUUAACACAAAUUUAACUUAUGUAACAAAUAGAUUUUCAUGUAUUGUUAUAAAAUAGAUACAUAUUUACAUGUUUCUACUUUUAAUCGGUUUUGUUCGGUUUAUUCGGUUUAAUCGGUUAUAUACCAAACCAUAUCCAAAUCCUACGGUUUUUAUAAAAUUAUAUCCAUUCGGUUUAUAUGGUAUAUACAAAAACCAAACCAUAUUGUCUAUUUCGGUUCGGUUCGGUUCAGUACGGUUCGGUUUUACCAUAUUGAACAGCCCUAAUUUUUAUUAACUUGUUAGCGUAUACAACUUUCGUGAGCUUUUAGCCAAUGGCAGGUCUUGCGUAUAUAGUAACUCUUGAAUAAAAAAAUUCAAAAAUGAUUUCAUGUAACCAUAUUGUCACAACCAAAUGUUCAUUUUCCUUUUCUUUUCUUUUCCACUCAUGACUCAACUCAUAUAGUCAUAUGGCUUGCUUCUUAAAUUAUAGCGCCACACUAGUCCCAAAGAAUUAAAAAUUUUAUAAUUAGCAAAUGCUCUAUUUAUAUGUAGUUCUCGUUCACUGAUAGCGAUUGAGUCCGAGAAUCUAAACUAAUCAAGAUAUCAAUUAGAGAAAUAAGGGGAAUCCAAGUGGGUAAAUAAAGAGACAAACACAGCUGAAAGACGCAUUUGUCUUGUCCGAAACACAUCACAACGUAAUUAUUCUUGAAGUGCCCCCACAAAUCUUUGUUGAUUUCGUAAGUUACACUGAUUUCUUGUUUGAGUUCGUCGACAUACCUAUGGGCAACAAUGGACGAAAGGCGUUGGCGUCACAAACUCACAAUGAUGAAAAAGCCAAAACACAUCAAACUGUACUUGAUGUUAAAGGAAACUUCCCGGAAGCUGCCUGCUUGAAUCUUGAGGAUACGUCUAUACACUUCUCACAUGCGCGUAUCAUGCAUGUGGAAGAUGUUGAUAUCGACCCACUCUUCUUGGAUAGAAGACACGAUAGUAUCUUUUGUCUGUUUAUAAGGUUUUUAAAUUAAAUGGAACAUCAGCGUCUACAUUUUUGUAAGUUCUUCCAAUUUUACAUGUUAGGGUAUCUAUAGACCACUAGCAGUUUCUUAUAUAAUUUUCGGCCACAGACCAUUUGAAGAGCUGGUCCCUUGAUGUGUACGGAACAAGAGAAUUCUAUUACAAAUUCUUAUCUUCUUACAAGAGACUUCACA